rnacentral:rRNA from 1 species
AGAUUGAACGCUGGCGGCAUGCCUUACACAUGCAAGUCGAACGGCAGCACGGGAGCAAUCCUGGUGGCGAGUGGCGAACGGGUGAGUAAUAUAUCGGAACGUGCCCAGUCGUGGGGGAUAACGCAGCGAAAGCUGUGCUAAUACCGCAUACGAUCUAUGGAUGAAAGCGGGGGAUCGCAAGACCUCGCGUCGAUUGGAGCGGCCGAUAUCAGAUUAGCUAGUUGGUGAGGUAAAGCUCACAAGGCGACAUCUGUAGCUGGUUUACGAGGAGGACGACAGCCGCACGUGGGACUAGGACGACGACCGGCCAGACUCCGUACGGGACGGGCA